CAGCCGCCGCGGUAAAACGGAGGGGGCUAGCGUUGUUCGGAAUUACUGGGCGUAAAGCGCACGUAGGCGGACUGGAAAGUCAGAGGUGAAAUCCCAGGGCUCAACCUUGGAACUGCCUUUGGAACUAUCAGUCUGGAGUUCGAGAGAGGUGAGUGGAAUUCCGAGUGUAGAGGUGAAAUUCGUAGAUAUUCGGAGGAACACCAGUGGCGAAGGCGGCUCACUGGCUCGAUACUGACGCUGAGGUGCGAAAGCGUGGGGAGCAAACAGGAUUAGAUACCCGAGUAGUCCCUGUCUCUUAUAC
rnacentral:rRNA from 1 species